ensembl:lncRNA
GUUUCUAAUUAACUCUGUUUUGAGAUACUGCAGAUUAUUAAUGUGAUGAUGGCCUUGUGCCUACGAUAAUUCUUCAGUUUUCUUGAUCCUUUUUUUUAAUAGGUAGAAUGAUGAAUGCCAGUUCAUAGCAUCCAAAAUAGACAACAUUUCCUAGGUCACUUAUAGUUGUUUCCUGUAGACUUAUAGGCUUCCCUGGUGGUUCAGAUGGGAAAGCGUCCAUCUGCAGUGCAGGAGACCCAGGUUCUAUCCCUGAGUCGGGAAGAUCCCCUGGAGAAGGAAAUGGCAACCCACUCCAGUAUUCUUGCCUGGAGGAUCCCAUGGACGGAAGAGCCUGGUAGGCUCCAGUCUGUGGGGUUGCAAAGAGUCAGACACGACUGAGCGACUUCACUUUUGCUUUCCACUUUCAUAGACUUAUAGUCGACAUCUGCUUACAGACGUAAGUGACAUCUCUCGACCCUUGGUCUAGAAUCUCCAUCCAGCUAGAAUGAUGUCACUAGAUACCUACUUACGCAGAUGUCACGUCCCCUCUACUGAGUUCUCACACCCCACUCCACCCCUAGUUACAAAGCACCAUGACCCUGUCAUGGACUGCAAGCCAAGCACACUUGACACCCGCUCACACCUGCCCACUUGUGUGCACACCUGCCUACCUGUGAGAACCUGCACAGCUGUGAGCUGUUUGUGGGCUCAAGUUGUGUCCUAUCGGUUAUUCUAGACACAGUUUUUACGACAGUAACUAACCCAUGACAGGUAAUCAUUGUGCAAAUGUGAAACGAUUCAACAAUACUUCAGUGUUUUAGAAAGAGCCAGAAAGCAGAAACGGAAAUCACCAAUACGCCAAGCUCAAGUCAGCUGACUCAAGACAGGAACACAUGUUGAGUUUAGGUAUAAGAGCUGUAAAGGGCUUCCCUGGUGGCUCAGACCAGGAAGCAUCUAUCUGCAAUGCAGGGGAUCUUCCCAAACCAGGGAUCCAAACCGUGUCUCCUGCCUGGGCAGGUGGAUUCUUUCCUGCUGAGCUAUCAGGGAAGCCCUGUGUGUGUGUGUGUGUGUGUGUGUGUGUGUUGUGUGUGUUCUGUGUGUCUGUGUGU